rnacentral:rRNA from 1 species
UGGGGAAUAUUGCACAAUGGGCGAAAGCCUGAUGCAGCAACGCCGCGUGAGUGAUGAAGGCCUUCGGGUUGUAAAGCUCUGUCUUUUGGGACGAUAAUGACGGUACCAAAGGAGGAAGCCACGGCUAACUACGUGCCAGCAGCCGCGGUAAUACGUAGGUGGCAAGCGUUGUCCGGGAUUUACUGGGCGUAAAGGAUGCGUAGGCGGAUUUUUAAGUGAGAUGUGAAAACCCUAAGCUUAACUUGGGGACUGCAUUUCAUACUGGAAAUCUAGAGUGCGGGAGAGGAGAAUGGAAUUCCUAGUGUAGCGGUGAAAUGCGUAGAGAUUAGGAAGAACACCAGUGGCGAAGGCGAUUCUCUGGACCGUAACUGACGCUGAGGCAUGAAAGCAGUGGGUAGCAAACAGGAUUAGAUACCCUGGUAGUCCACGCCGUAAACGAUGAGUACUAGGUGUAGGAGGUAUCGACCCCUUCUGUGCCGCAGUUAACACAAUAAGUACUCCGCCUGGGAAGUACGAUCGCAAGAUUAAAAACUC